rfam:Nematostella vectensis strain CH2 x CH6 NEMVEscaffold_680_Cont31670, whole genome shotgun sequence.
GCCGUGAUGGUAUAGUGGUUAGUACAUUGCGUUGUGGCCGCAAUAACCCAGGUUCGAAUCCUAAUCAUUUUA